rnacentral:rRNA from 1 species
GACGAACGCUGGCGGCGUGCUUAACACAUGCAAGUCGAACGGAAAGGCCCUGCUUUUGUGGGGUGCUCGAGUGGCGAACGGGUGAGUAACACGUGAGUAACCUGCCCUUGACUUUGGGAUAACUUCAGGAAACUGGGGCUAAUACCGGAUAGGAGCUCCUGCUGCAUGGUGGGGGUUGGAAAGUUUCGGCGGUUGGGGAUGGACUCGCGGCUUAUCAGCUUGUUGGUGGGGUAGUGGCUUACCAAGGCUUUGACGGGUAGCCGGCCUGAGAGGGUGACCGGCCACAUUGGGACUGAGAUGCGGCCCAGACUCCUACGGGAGGCAGCAGUGGAGAAUAUUGCACAAUGGGCGGAGGCCUGAUGCAGCAACGCCGCGUGCGGGAUGGCGGCCUUCGGGUUGUAAACCGCUUUCGCCUGUGACGAAGCGUGAGUGACGGUAAUGGGUAAAGAAGCACCGGCUAACUACGUG